rnacentral:rRNA from 1 species
CCCAGACUCCUACGGGAGGCAGCAGUGAGGAAUAUUGGGCAAUGGGCGCAAGCCUGACCCAGCAACGCCGCGUGAAGGAAGAAGGCCUUCGGGUUGUAAACUUCUUUUAUUGAGGACGAAACAAAUGACGGUACUCAAUGAGUAAGCCACGGCUAACUACGUGCCAGCAGCCGCGGUAAUACGUAGGUGGCAAGCGUUAUCCGGAUUUACUGGGUGUAAAGGGCGUGUAGGCGGGACUGCAAGUCAGAUGUGAAAUCCGGGGGCUCAACCCCCGAACUGCAUUUGAAACUGUUGGUCUUGAGUAUCGGAGAGGCAGGCGGAAUUCCUAGUGUAGCGGUGAAAUGCGUAGAUAUUAGGAGGAACCCCAGUGGCGAAGGCGGCCUGCUGGACGACAACUGACGGUGAGGCGCGAAAGCGUGGGGAGCAAACAGGAUUAGAUACCCGGGUAU